CUGGCGGUGAGGAGUAGUGCAUUUGGAUGACUUGCUUUUCAGGGAAAAACGAAGAACAGGACUUUCACCUCUGGAAUAAGACACUGUCUCGUGUACGUGCCUGAUAACUAGAAUCUGUUAAUUUCUACCAACAAAGGGCAUCAAGUGUCUCCAGCAUGGAGGGGAUGCUGCCAGGCACCCGGGGUCAUAUUAAACAGCUUGCAUGGUUGAUCUUUCCGUACUUACCUCACCCUGCCGGGUGAAUACUGUUAGCAUCAACCUUAUUUUUUUAUUUUUUAUUUCUUCAUCAACCUUAUUUUAAAGAGGAAUAGGCUGCCGGCGAACUUGAAUAUCAUGGUGGGGCCAUGACCCAGGCAGUCUGACCACCGUCAUAGUCCAGAGCCUGGACUUUUGAACCCUAGACUGUCCUGCCCUUCUAGCAAACACCUUUACGUGGAACCCUUGUCAAAGCUCUAACUGAGCGAGACCUUGAACGGAAGCAGCUGGUAUAGUCCCAUAUACAGAGAUAUGGUGUUCAAGUUAUGUGAAGUCUCGAUAUCAUGGAUCUCAAGAUUCAUUCAUCUGUUUAUUUGUUCAACAAAUAUUUGUCGAACUCAAGAAGCACAUAGAAGAAGAAAAGAGUUGAAGAAGCAGCCUGAAAAAAAAUGGCUAAAACAUCCACCAGACAAGAGUGAAUUCUACUACCUCGGCAGACUGUUGUCAGGAGACGAGUCAAAAGGUAAUGUAGGGAAUAAGAGAAAAAAGCUAGAUUGCUUUUUUUUUUUUGAAAAAAAAAAAAAAAGUGGAAAGAAUACCCUCUAAGCAAAGAUACAGAUGCAGUGAGACGUUGGGACACCUGCACCCCAAUGUUUGUAGCAGCCACGUCCACAAUAGCCAAACUGUGGAAGGAGCCUCGGUGUCCAUCGACAGAUGAAUGGUUAAAGAAGAUGUGGUCUAUACACAUAAAUGCUUCUAAUAGCUUUAUUCCUAAUUAUUCAAACUGGAAUCACCUAAGGUGUCCAUCAACAAGUGAAUGGGAAAACAAGCUGUGGAACAUGCAUACAAUGGAGUAUUAUUCAAUAAUAAAAAGAAAUAGGUUAUCA
rnacentral:lncRNA from 12 species